AUACGGAGGAUCCGAGCGUUAUCCGGAUUUAUUGGGUUUAAAGGGUGCGCAGGCGGCCAUUUAAGUCAGCGGUUAAAUCGUGGGGCUCAACCCCAUUCUGCCGUUGAUACUGGGUGGCUUGAUUGCGGUCGAGGUUGGCGGAAUUCGUUGUGUAGCGGUGAAAUGCAUAGAUAUGACGAAGAACACCGAUUGCGUAGGCAGCUGACCAGACCGCAAAUGACGCUCAUGCACGAAAGUGCGGGGAUCGAACAGGGUUAGAUACCCUGGUAGUCCGCACAGUAAACGAUGAAUACUUGUUUUCGGCGAUAUAAUGUCGGAGGCAAAGCGAAAGCGAUAAGUAUUCCACCUGGGGAGUACGCCGGCAACGGUGAAACUCAAAUGAAUUGACGGGG
rnacentral:rRNA from 1 species